CCUACGGGAGGCUGCAGUGGGGAAUAUUGCACAAUGGGCGCAAGCCUGACGCAGCCAUGCCGCGUGUGUGAAGAAGGCCUUCGGGUUGUAAAGCACUUUCAGCGGGGAGGAAGGCGUUAAGGUUAAUAACCUUGGCGAUUGACGUUACCCGCAGAAGAAGCACCGGCUAACUCCGUGCCAGCAGCCGCGGUAAUACGGAGGGUGCAAGCGUUAAUCGGAAUUACUGGGCGUAAAGCGCACGCAGGCGGUCUGUCAAGUCGGAUGUGAAAUCCCCGGGCUCAACCUGGGAACUGCAUUCGAAACUGGCAGGCUAGAAUCUUGUAGAGGGGGGUAGAAUUCCAGGUGUAGCGGUGAAAUGCGUAGAGAUCUGGAGGAAUACCGGUGGCGAAGGCGGCCCCCUGGACAAAGACUGACGCUCAGGUGCGAAAGCGUGGGGAGCAAACAGGAUUAGAUACCCCUGUAGUC
rnacentral:rRNA from 1 species